rnacentral:pre_miRNA from 1 species
AGCAGUGCUUUACGUAGUAUAGUGCUUUUCACAUUACACAAAAAGUGAAAGGUGCCAUACUAUGUACAGGAAGGCUUA